CCUACGGGUGGCUGCAGUGGGGAAUAUUGGGCAAUGGGCGCAAGCCUGACCCAGCAACGCCGCGUGAAGGAAGAAGGCCUUCGGGUUGUAAACUUCUUUUGUCAGGGACGAAGCACGUGACGGUACCUGACGCAUAAGCCACGGCUAACUACGUGCCCGCAGCCGCGGUAAUACGUAGGUGGCAAGCGUUAUCCGGAUUUACUGGGUGUAAAGGGCGUGUAGGCGGGACUGCAAGUCAGAUGUGAAAACCACGGGCUCAACCUGUGGCCUGCAUUUGAAACUGUAGUUCUUGAGUACUGGAGAGGCAGACGGUAUGCCUAGUGUAGCGGUGGAAUGCGUAGAUAUUAGGAGGAACACCAGUGGCGAAGGCGGUCUGCUGGACAGCAACUGACGCUGAGGCGCGAAAGCGUGGGGAGCAAACAGGAUUAGAUACCCUAGUAGUC
rnacentral:rRNA from 1 species